AACUGUGGAAAAGUACAUGCAUGAAGUUAAAAUAAAUUUAAGAAAAUUAGAAGGAAUGUCCAGAACAGAAAUAAAGGACAAAGCCAGAAUAUGGGACACAGAGAGGUGGAAAGAAGAGUUGGAAAAUAAAGUGACUGUGAACAUAUAUAAAACGUGGAAAAGAGAAAUAAAAGACGAAGAAAUUUAUGACAACUCUAUGGGUUCAGUCCUUCUCUUCAAAGCCAGAACCAACUCUCUUAAUUUAAAUAUAGCAAAAAGGCACCAGAAGGAGAACACCUGUUGUCCUUUUUGCAAUGAUGCAGUAGAAGACAUAUUUCAUUUCCUUUUAUAUUGUGAUACAUAUAUAGAGGAACGGGUUAAAGCAAUAGGGCUACAACAACCCUAUGAAGAGAAGGAAAGUGACGUAGUGGGAAAAUUUCUAUUUUCAGGUAACAACGAAAUAAGAAAAGAAACCAUAUACUUGAUGUGGAAAAAAAGAGAGAAAAAAAGGAAAGAGCUAAACAAAUAAACAAACAAAAACAAAAAAUACCCAAGACUAAGAGGCGCCGUUGCAAAGGCAUUGCCUCGACCCAUAACUACUACUACUGUGCAAUAAACAGUUUCAUCGCUGUUUUCGGGACUACGAUUCGUGGAGCGAUAAUAUUACCGCCGUAAUGAGUGUAGACAACGACGUUUAUUUGGAAAUGUGCAGUGUGCCUGGCCGUCCCUCGAUAGUACGGUAAAAAAAAAAAGAGAAAAUCUAAUAAAAGGAAAAUCCGUGUCUGCUUGUCAGUGGCCUAGUCCAUACCUAAGCGGUCAAAAGAAGUCAGUAAAGUCUGAUUCAAAUUAUACUAUCACGUCACCAACACGUCACGUCACGGUCCCAUCAGUCGUGCCUUGUAUGCACUACUAGAUUUUAUCAUCAAGAUUAUAUGAAAAACACCACGCGAUAUGGAUUAAAUGUAUAAAAACUAAGGGUUCUUUAAGUAAUUCAGUGGAGAAACACGGGGAGUGUUACUCUUGUGACGUCACAGUAUUAGCUCCGCCCCCACUGCCGAGUUGAGCAGACCCUAUAUACUUUGAAUGGUUAUUAAAAAACAUCAAGCGUGUGACUUCUACAAGUUUUAUCAGAUUUUAUAUAAAAAAAACCAUGCGAUAUGGAUUAAAUGUAUAAAAACUAAGGGUUCUUUAAGUAAUUCAAUGGAGAAGCAUGGGUAGUGUUACCCUUUUGACGUCACAGUAUUAGCUCCGCCCCCACUGCCGAGUUGAGCAGACCCUAUUACUUUUGACUCUGCUACUAUCCAUCACGGUCUCGAAAUUCCCGAUCAAUUCGUGCCUAGCCUCCCAGUAGCUACGUCUAGUAUGGCGCCUCUCAGAUUUAGCGUAAAGGAACUUGCAUUAAUUGCACUUCUUUUAGAUGAAGAGGAGGCCGAGUUGAAACUCAAAGAGAAGCGCAAGAAGAGAUUAUGGGUACAGAAAGCAUUGAGAAAAAGAAAAGAAGAAGGUGAAUACUGGACUCAUUACAAGGAGCUGGAAGACGAUGAGGUUAAGUUCUUUCAGUAUUUUAGAAUGUCAAAAUCUAAAUUCAACUAUCUGCUUGACAAGUAGAGGGAGACCUUCUCAAGAAGAAUACUAAUUUUCGGGAGGCUAUUUCACCGAAAGAAAAACUAGCUGUAUGCUGAAGAUUCUUUGCUACCGGUGAUAGCUUCAGGACUAUCUCACUUAGCUAUCGCUUGGGACAUUCAACAGUUCAUAACAUUGUAAAGGAAGUGUGCACAGCUAUCAUCAAGACUCCAACCUGAAGUUGCCACUGCCUACACAGGAGACCUGGAAGUGCUUCUUCAAUACCUAAGGAGUAAUUUUGGCAUGAAAAAAUUUGGAAUUGUCUCAGGAAAUAUUGUACUAAGCAUGGUGUCAAUCACAUCCCUCUGUAUGCUGGAUGCCCUGUUCUUUCUAAACUGUGGAUGUUUUGUACUUAGAUGAUGGUGAUAGUGAUAAUUGUGAGCCUUUUCCAGUAACAGAUCAUAAUGAGAGUUUUUACUGAACAAGGCAGUGUCAUAAAAGGUGGGGAUAAAGAGGAAAGCUGUGUAAAAAGAAAAAAAAGAAGAAAAUCUCAUUAUUAUACUUACGUAUAGUUCCAGUGAAUCUUCUGAUGAUAAGUGGUUGAAUCCCAAUGAUAGUGAAAGUGGUUCAUAAUACGCAUAAUGAUCCAUCUUGUACCACCAGCAGACCCAUUUGUGUGGCCAUCUCCCCCACCCCCCAUCAGUUUUGAUGCCAGUGCUACCACCUGCAGUGGCUCCCGCUCCGAAUGAUGGGGCCAAGUAUCCAGUACAGAAGGAAAAGGGUUAGUAGACCAGGAACGUGGGCUGCUUAUGUUGCUAAAAGGCAAAAACCUUGGCCUGCCCUACAUAAGCUGUUACGAAAACUGGUCCCCUGUGAGAGGACUAUUUCAGCCAUGAAGGUCAGUCCCCCCUUGCAACUGGAAGAACAAGUGUUUUUCAAAAGUGGGGGAUGAGGCAGUUACUGUGGCCUUUAAGGCAUACUGGGCAGUGGGAGACUACAACUUGCAGACAUCGUUUCUUCAAAGAAAUAUUCGCAGGGAAGCUAUCAAGAGGAAGUGAUCUUAGACUGAAGAAGCAAGAACUGGACAUUGAGCUACUCUGUUACCUUUAAGGGCAAGAAAAUAACAAUCUGCAAGGCUGCUUUCCUCUCCUUUCCGUCCAUGCAAUAACUGCAAUGAGGACCCAAGUUGUUAUGGAAGAGUUGCCUGAGUGAGGAGCAACAGUACAGAACCUGAGUGGUAUGAACCCCCAUACCAGGAAAAUAACAGGGUGUUCCAAAUACAUACCCUGAACUGGCAAUUUUUGGUGUCUCACUUCAGCAUGAGAGCACUUAAUGAGAAAUACCUUGAUUGGUUGGAUAUCAGCCAUCUUGAUCUUGCUGUGGUGUAGUUAAAAUAUUACCACAAGAUUUUUAGUUGUUAUUGUGAGAUCGGUUUCAUCCUAUGAAAAAGGAUGUUGCAACACCUGUUAGCACCUCAUGGAAGCUCUUGUUGAUGGUAGACCGGCCAGAAUAAAUACUCUCACCUUGAAUAAGAACAGGAGGCAUAUUUUGAAAAAAUAUCUAGCUUUCAGUGCUAUGAAGACUGCUAACUCUGUGACAGUGUUUAGAUGUGUCACCAUGGACUUACAGCAGACAUUCUCUAUCUUUGUCUUUCUGUCAGCUCAAAUACAAAUUGUGGUUAUACAGUUUUUGUGUACACAACAUCGAGCAAAAUGAGUCUUAACUGUACGUAUGGGAGGAACAUGUUACAGCCAGUGUCCAAUGAAAUAGAAAGUUCUCUUGUCAGGUGUUUAGGGGACUAUGUACCUGGCAUCCCUGUUGACAACUGUGGAGUUUAUAAUAACAUUCAUGAUCUUUGCAUUACUUUGUGAAGUCUACAUACAGCAUUUUGAUAGAAUCAGUCUGUGCUGUCAAGUGGCAUACAUGGCAUGCGACCACUCUUUCAGUGUUACAGAGCAGAAUAUUAGGAAGUGCAAGAGCUACAAUGAGGAGAUAGCAAGCUCCCAUAAAAAGAGUAGGUUCCCCUUGUACAACAUGAGGAGAAGACUUCCUGGAAUUUGGCAGCUUAAUUAUCACCAAGAGGGCAUUCAACAGGAGUGCAGAGGGCAACCAGUUUGAGAAUGCUGCUCAGGUCAUCUUCAGCUGUAAUCAUUUGGGUUAAGGCGACUGAACUCCACAAAAAAUAAAAAAAGGCAGAAACUUUUCCAUUUUGAACGAUAACAGGAAAUGUUUGCAGGCUCCCAUUCAUAUACAGAGACAGUUAUAAGCAAGUGCAUAUUUUUAUUCUUCUGAUGGGUGGUUAUGUGCCACAGAGUAUAACAUUAUCCUUCCUGAUGAUCUUGAAAACUGUGACAAGAAAGCCAUGCAGCCACACAGAGGCAGUGCCCCAUUCCCCUGCCGACAUGUGUUUUGGCUGUAAUGCAAGCUUGCAUCCCAUUAUUGAUAAAUGGGAGAUUUAAUGACAGUUGUCAGCUGCUUCGGUUCACCUUGGGGGUCCGUACCAGCAAAUGCACCUGUGAGUGAACAUUCAUCUUAAUUGAAGACUGUCAUUAGUGGAACACAGGAACUAGUCUCUUUGCCACAAAAUAAAGCUAUGUUACCACUAGUGAUCAUCAGCCCAGCUAUUCAUCUGCAUACUACAAGUAAUCUCAGCCCAGCAAUGCAUUUGCAUACUACAAGUGAUCAAUCAGCCCAGCUAUACGUCCGGAUUACUUCUGUAGAUGACCCACCAAUUAUGUCCGAGAAAACCAUUUACAUAUAUAAAUUAAGGAUCGUUCUGUUGCUACACUAAUUCAGAAAUGUAAUGUUUAUUUUUUAUUAAAUUGUUCAUUCUA